rnacentral:rRNA from 1 species
AUUGAACGCUGGCGGCAUGCUUUACACAUGCAAGUCGAACGGCAGCGCGGGGGCAACCCUGGCGGCGAGUGGCGAACGGGUGAGUAAUGCAUCGGAACGUAUCCUGUAAUGGGGGAUAACGUAGCGAAAGUUACGCUAAUACCGCAUACGCUCGAGAGAGGAAAGUGGGGAUCGCAAAGACCUCACGUUAUAGGAGCGGCCGAUGUCCGAUUAGCUAGUUGGUGGGGUAAAGCCUAACCAAGGCGACGAUCGGUAGCUGGUCUGAGAGGAUGAUCAGCCACACUGGGACUGAGACACGGCCCAGACUCCUACGGAGGCAGCAGUGGGGAA